rnacentral:piRNA from 1 species
ACCCAAGAAAUGCUUUAUAAACCCUGUCCUC